AUGGUUGUGGAGAUCCGGCGGUUGUACAAUGGUGCACGUGCAGAUCUGAAGAGGUACGAUAUAUAUCUUUGUGCUUUUGACUCUACUCUUCUUCUCUUUGAUUUCUCCAUUCAAUCUUCUAGCUUCUGUUUUCCUCGACAACAACCUACAACAAAAUCAAAACAAAAUAAUUUCUACACAGUUAGUGGCGACUGGGCUCACGUUAUUUGGGGUGCGAUCCUGCAGAGGUUGCGAUUGCAUGGAGGCUCAGCGGUGUUGGGCUUUCGCAUGAAUUGGUGUUGA